GACGAACGCUGGCGGCGUGCUUAACACAUGCAAGUCGAACGGUGAAGCGCCUUCCUUUUGGUGGGUGUGGAUGAGUGGCGAACGGGUGAGUAACACGUGAGUAACCUGCCCCCUUCUUCUGGAUAACCGCAUGAAAGUGUGGCUAAUACGGGAUAUUCUGGGUCUGUCGCAUGAUGGGUCUGGGAAAGAUAUUGUUUCGGGGGGGGAUGGGCCCGCGGCCUAUCAGCUUGUUGGUGGGGUGAUGGCCUACCAAGGCGGUGACGGGUAGCCGGCCUGAGAGGGUGGACGGUCACACUGGGACUGAGACACGGCCCAGACUCCUACGGGAGGCAGCAGUGGGGAAUAUUGCACAAUGGGCGCAAGCCUGAUGCAGCGACGCCGCGUGAGGGAUGGAGGCCUUCGGGUUGUGAACCUCUUUCGCCAGUGAGGCAGGCCUGCCUCGUUUGUGGGUGGGUUGACGGUAGCUGGAUAAGAAGCGCCGGCUAACUACGUG
rnacentral:rRNA from 1 species